GACGAACGCUGGCGGCGUGCUUAACACAUGCAAGUCGAACGGAAAGGCUCUGCAUUUGUGGGGUGCUCGAGUGGCGAACGGGUGAGUAACACGUGAGUAACCUGCCCUUGACUUUGGGAUAACUUCUGGAAACUGGGGCUAAUACCGGAUAGGAGCUCCUGCUGCAUGGUGGGGGUUGGAAAGUUUCGGCGGUUGGGGAUGGACUCGGGGCUUAUCAGCUUGUUGGUGGGGGAGUGGCUUACCAAGGCUUUGACGGGUAGCCGGCCUGAGAGGGUGACCGGCCACAUUGGGACUACGAUACGGCCCAGACUCCUACGGGAGGCAGCAGUGGGGAAUAUUGCACAAUGGGCGGAAGCCUGAUGCAGCAACGCCGCGUGCGGGAUGACGGCCUUCGGUUUGUAAACCGCUUUCGCCUGUGACGAAGCGUGAGUGACGGUAAUGGGUAAAGAAGCACCGGCUAACUACGUG
rnacentral:rRNA from 1 species